rnacentral:rRNA from 1 species
UACGGAGAGGGCAAGCGUUGUUCGGAUUUAUUGGGCGUAAAGCGAGCGUAGGCGGUAUGGUAAGUCGGAUGUUAAAGACCCACGGCUCACCCGGGGGAAUGCGUCCGAUACUGCCAUACUGGAGUGAGGGAGAGGGAAGUGGAAUUCCUGGUGUAGCGGUGAAAUGCGUAGAUAUCAGGAGGAACAUCUGUGGCGAAGGCGGCUUCCUGGCCCUUAACUGACGCUGAGGCUCGAAAGCGUGGGGAGCGAACGGG